rnacentral:rRNA from 1 species
GGGAAACUUGUGCUAAUACCGAAUGUGCCCUUCGGGGGAAAGAUUUAUCGCCUUUAGAGCGGCCCGCGUCUGAUUAGCUAGUUGGUGGUGUAAUGGACCACCAAGGCGACGAUCAGUAGCUGGUCUGAGAGGAUGAUCAGCCACAUUGGGACUGAGACACGGCCCAAACUCCUACGGGAGGCAGCAGUGGGGAAUCUUGCGCAAUGGGCGAAAGCCUGACGCAGCCAUGCCGCGUGAAUGAUGAAGGUCUUAGGAUUGUAAAAUUCUUUCACCGGGGACGAUAAUGACGGUACCCGGAGAAGAAGCCCCGGCUAACUUCGUGCCAGCAGCCGCGGUAAUACGAAGGGGGCUAGCGUUGCUCGGAAUUACUGGGCGUAAAGGGAGCGUAGGCGGACAUUUAAGUCAGGGGUGAAAUCCCGGGGCUCAACCUCGGAAUUGCCUUUGAUACUGGGUGUCUUGAGUAUGAGAGAGGUGUGUGGAACUCCGAGUGUAGAGGUGAAAUUCGUAGAUAUUCGGAAGAACACCAGUGGCGAAGGCGACACACUGGCUCAUUACUGACGCUGAGGCUCGAAAGCGUGGGGAGCAAACAGGAUUAGAUACCCUGGUAGUCCACGCCGUAAACGAUGAUUGCUAGUUGUCG